rnacentral:rRNA from 1 species
UCGAACGGCAGCACGGGUAGCAAUCCUGGUGGCGAGUGGCGAACGGGUGAGUAAUGUAUCGGAACGUACCAUUCAGUGGGGGAUAACGUAGCGAAAGUUACGCUAAUACCGCAUAUUCUGUGCGCAGGAAAGCAGGGGAUCGCAAGACCUUGCGCUGAUUGAGCGGCCGAUAUCAGAUUAGCUAGUUGGUGAGGUAAAGGCUCACCAAGGCGACGAUCUGUAGCGGGUCUGAGAGGAUGAUCCGCCACACUGGAACUGAGACACGGUCCAGACUCCUACGGGAGGCAGCAGUGGGGAAUUUUGGACAAUGGGGGCAACCCUGAUCCAGCCAUGCCGCGUGAGUGAAGAAGGCCUUCGGGUUGUAAAGCUCUUUCGGCCGGGAAGAAAUCGUAUGGGUUAAUACCCUGUGCGGAUGACGGUACCGGCAUAAGAAGCACCGGCUAACUACGUGCCAGCAGCCGCGGUAAUACGUAGGGUGCGAGCGUUAAUCGGAAUUACUGGGCGUAAAGCGUGCGCAGGCGGUUUUGUAAGACAGGCGUGAAAUCCCCGGGCUCAACCUGGGAACU